rnacentral:lncRNA from 1 species
GUUUUCCUUUCUUGAUGGGUACCCUCCAAGGGUUCGUUGGCCUUUUGUUUGGCCUUCAGAUCGUCACACAUGCAAUGGGCUUUAGUAGUGGGGGAUUUGUUGAGUCUUGCACUUCCCUGUUGCCUGACCAUUCAUUCGGUGGCGUAGGUUUUUCCCCACAGAGCGGCCCACUACCUUAUAAGGUCAAUGCCAUUGCCGGUGAGGGGGAGUCAAUUAUCGUGAGACUAGGAGGCACGUCACCUGAUGCUCCACGAUUUACAGGGUUCAUGGUGGAUGUCCGGAAAUCAGAAAAUGUUCCUGCCAUGGGAAGUUUUGUUGAGUUUGGUCCUGGAAGUACUGGCUUGAAGUGCAAUGGCAUUCAGGAUUCUGCUGUUACUCAAAAAUCAAACGUUCCAAAGACUUUUGUACAAGUUAAAUGGCAAGCACAGGAAAAUGGAUCCUCUUCAUUAUUUUUGCGAGCCACAUUUGUUGACGAGUUCACCAUUUUUUGGAGCCCAGUGAAUGUCAAUGUCACUAUCAAGACACCAGCAACAACAACGCCAUCAACUACAACACUAACUUCCGAGCAAAGUACAGAACAACCAACUACAGAACAACCAACUACAGAACAACAAACUACAGAACUACCAAAUACAGACCAACCAAGUACAGAACAACCAACUACAGGACAAACAAUAACAGAACAAACAAGUACAGAACAACCAAGUACUACACUUGGUACACAAUCAACUACCAUACUUGCGACGCAACCAAGCACUAUACAACUCACUACUACACUUGGUACAAAUCCAAGUACUACACAAGGUUCAACACCAGCUCCCGAGGGUCCCAGCAGCACUCCUGAUCUCGGGCAGCCGUCAGACAACGGGCUGUCAAGGCUUUAUCAGGCCGUGGCGUCCCUGAUCUGCAGCCUCACAAUUAACGGGCAUUGCUUCCUGCAGCCACCAACCAUGAAGUUAGUCAGAAUUUUGCAGUGGACUCUCUCGCUGGCAGCCGAGACCAUAUCGUUGACUUUACUUUGUUUCUGGGACUCUGGCUAUGUCCCUCCCAUUGCACUUGUGUCUGUUGUGCUGUUUACUAGUCUUUUAGGUUAUUGCUUGUUGAUAGCUUCUCUGGCCAUUGGACCCAGUCAUGAAUUGAAAAAAAUCCAUGAUGGUGUUUCCAAACUGGUUACUAUCCUUCACGAGGUGCUCCUCCUUGCUGCAAUUUUCCUGUGUCUUUGGAAGAUCAAGGAGAGUGAUGUUAUGAAGAUUUGCUGUGACAGCUUCUUGCUUCUGGGAGCAAUGGCUGGUUAUGCUGCAUGGAGGUUCCUCUUCAUCCUAAUUUUCCUAUUGAUUAUUUUUCUUUUCAGAACAACAAUGGCACAAAGAAAUCGAAGAGGAAAUGAUUAUACUGAUAGCAGAUGUAGGAAGAGCACAGUCAUCAUCUUAAACCUUGGAAAUAUAGCAUUUGCUAUUGCUUUGAUUGUUCUGAUGUUUCCUUGCUUCUAA